AAACAAUGAUAUUUUCAUACAUUAAUAUCCGCCUGGUUACUACGAACAUUAGUUUGAAAACCAAAGGACUUGGCGGUGCUUUAAGCCCUUCUAGAGGAGCCUGUCCUGUAAUCGACAACCCCCGUUUAACCUCACCCUUUCUGGCCCCAUCCGCUUAUAUACCACCGUCGAAAGUUUACCCUGUGAAGGCACAAUAGUGAGCACAAUUGGUGAAAACCCAGAACGUCAGGUCAAGGUGUCGCGAAUGAAAGGGGAAGAGAUGGGCUACACUUGUUAUUUUAACAUAUACGGAAAUUACGCUGAAACAACGUAAUUGAAGGUGGAUUUAGUAGUAAGCUGGAAAUAGAGAGUCUA
rnacentral:rRNA from 1 species